GGUUCGAUGGUGUAGUUGGUUAUCACGUCUGUCUCACAUGAACCUGAAUCUCCUCACGUGACUCACAGGAGGUCUCCGGUUCGAACCCGGGUCGAAUCA